UGGGGAAUUUUGGACAAUGGGGGAAACCCUGAUCCAGCCAUCCCGCGUGUGCGAUGAAGGCCUUCGGGUUGUAAAGCACUUUUGGCAGGAAAGAAACGUCGCGGGUUAAUACCCCGCGAAACUGACGGUACCUGCAGAAUAAGCACCGGCUAACUACGUGCCAGCAGCCGCGGUAAUACGUAGGGUGCAAGCGUUAAUCGGAAUUACUGGGCGUAAAGCGUGCGCAGGCGGUUCGGAAAGAAAGAUGUGAAAUCCCAGAGCUUAACUUUGGGAAACUGCAUUUUUUAACUACCGGGCUAGAGUGUGUCAGAGGGAGGUGGAAUUCCGCGUGUAGCAGUGAAAAUGCGUAGAUAUGCGGAGGGAAACACCCGAUGGCGAAAGGCAGCCUCCCUGGGGAUAACACUGACGCUCAUGCACGAAAAGCGUGGGGGAGC
rnacentral:rRNA from 1 species